rnacentral:rRNA from 2 species
UGGACAACCCGCUGACGAAGAAGUUUUCGAUCGUAAACUCUGUUUUAGAGAAGACACGGGUGAGAGUAACUGUCACCUGUUGACGGUAUCUAACCAGCAAGUCACGGCUAACUACGUGCCAGCAGCCGCGGUAAUACGUAGGUGGCAAGCGUUAUCCGGAUUUAUUGGGCGUAAAGGGAACGCAGGCGGUUCUUUAAAGUCUGAUGUGAAAGCCUUCGGCUUAACCGAAGAUGUGCAUUGGAAACUGGGGAACUUGAGUGCAGAAGAGGAGAGUGGAACUCCAUGUGUAGCGGUGAAAUGCGUAGAUAUAUGGAAGAACACCAGUGGCGAAAGCGGCUCUCUGGUCUGUAACUGACGCUGAGGUUCGAAAGCGUGGGUAGCGAACAGGAUUAGAUACCCUGGUAGUCCACGCCGUAAACGAUGAAUGCUAGGUGUUGGAGGGUUUCCGCCCUUCAGUGCCGCAGCUAACGCACUAAGCAUUCCGCCUGGGGAGUACGACCGCAAGGUUGAAACUCAAAGGAAUUGACGGGGGCCCGCACAAGCGGUGGAGCAUGUGGUUUAAUUCGAAGCUACGCGAAGAACCUUACCAGGUCUUGACAUCUUUUGACCACCUAAGAGAUUAGGUUUUCCCUUCGGGGACAAAAUGACAGGUGGUGCAUGGUUGUCGUCAGCUCGUGUCGUGAGAUGUUGGGUUAAGUCCCGCAACGAGCGCAACCCUUGUUGUCAGUUGCCAGCAUUCAGUUGGGCACUCUGGCGAGACUGCCGGUGACAAACCGGAGGAAGGUGGGGAUGACGUCAAAUCAUCAUGCCCCUUAUGACCUGGGCUACACACGUGCUACAAUGGGCAGUACAACGAGUCGCGAAACCGCGAGGUUUAGCAAAUCUCUUAAAGCUGCUCUCAGUUCGGACUGCAGGCUGCAACUCGCCUGCACGAAGUCGGAAUCGCUAGUAAUCGCGAAUCAGCAUGUCGCGGUGAAUACGUUCCCGGGCCUUGUACACACCGCCCUGUCACACCAAGAG